GCUAGGGCAUCACAGGUGGGCCGCUUUUCUCCGAUUUCAGAAGGAAAGAAAAAACCUUCGUGCAAGCGGAGCUGGUGGCGACGGCCUCCUCUCGCCGUCGCGAGCCGUCCCAAAAUCAUAGUGCUGACUGCCGCAUCUCAUCCACCCCCAAUCCCACAGCGGUUAAGUUCCCGGCGGCAGGCAGUAGCGGGAAUAGUCUGUCAAGGAGAGAUGCCGCCGUGGCCGCUGCCUUUUGGCCAUUACCUCCCCUCAGUAACUUCCAGUAUUGGAUUCAAUCCUUACAAGUGACUUUGGAAGCGAGCUCUCUAGCACGGUGGUGGAUUUCUUGCGGAUCGCGGAGAAAAAGGUAGGGAUGGAAAGAGAGACCCUUGUGCGGGUGCGACCACCACCUAUUUGUGUCCCGUAGCCCUUCACACCACAACCAUCCGCCCAGAUCUCAUUCUCCCCUUUCCUUCUGCUUCUUCUCAACUUCAAUCAAGGGAUGUGCAUGUUUUUCCUAAGUGGUUACUACACCACAGGAAUGAUGUAGAGUAGAAGUCUUCUCUUCGAUUUGGUGAAGCCUCAACCCCGUAAUCUAGGGACACCAAGGGUGAAGAUUAGGUGUUUUUCUCUCUCUCUCAAUUCUUAUUUGAUGGCUGCUCCUUGUGUUGAGUGCUAUUCUCCUAUGGGUAUCUUUACAAAGGGAGCAUCUUUUAUUGGGUGAUUAUUUUGUUUACUAUCACAUUUGGGCAAUCUACUAUUUCAGAAGUCACGGGCCAGGGCAGGUGAAGUUUGAUUUACCAUCAUGUGGUGACCAUAAACUUGUAACUAAAGUAUAUCAAGAAAUUGCAUGGUGAUAUGAAUUUUUUUCAUGAAA